GACGAACGCUGGCGGCGUGCUUAACACAUGCAAGUCGAACGGAAAGGCCCUGCUUUUGUGGGGUGCUCGAGUGGCGAACGGGUGAGUAACACGUGAGUAACCUGCCCUUGACUUUGGGAUAACUUCAGGAAACUCGGGCUAAUACCGGAUAGGAGCUCCUGCUGCAUGGUGGGGGUUGGAAAGUUUCGGCGGUUGGGGAUGGACUCGCGGCUUAUCAGCUUGUUGGUGGGGUAGUGGAUGACCAAGGCUUUGACGGGUAGCCGGCCUGAGAGGGUGACCGGCCACAUGAGGACUGAGAGAGGGCGCAGACUCGUAUGGGAGGCAGUGGGGGGGAAUAUGGCACAAUGGGCGGAAGCCUGAUGCAGCAACGCCGCGUGCGGGAUGACGGCCUUCGGGGUGUAAACCGCUUUCGCCUGUGCCGAAGCGUGAGUGACGGUAACGGGUAAGGAAGCACCGGCUAACUACGUG
rnacentral:rRNA from 1 species